GGAGAGGUGGCCGAGUGGUUUAAGGCGCAUCGUUGGAAACGAUGUUUGUGUAUUCCACAACGCAGGUUCGAAUCCUGUCCUCUCCG
rnacentral:tRNA from 1 species